AAUGUAUAGAAAGGACAAAUUUAAAAAAACUUUGAAAAGCUCAUAUUUAAUAGAAAAACCUUGCUCAUCAGACCAGAUAGUACAAUGAGUAAGGCACACAUCUUGAACACAAUUCACCCUUGUUCAGUCCUUGGCAUCACAUAUGGUCCACUGAAUACCAGCAGGAGUGAUUCCUGAGUGCAGAACUAGGAAUACCCCAGAGCAUUGCCAGGUGUGGCCCUAAACCAAAAAUACUUGCCCAUGAUCUCAGUGGGAAGGAAUGCAAUAAAAAAUGUGGCACAAUAUUAAAACCAAAUAUGCUAGAAAUAAAGCAUCCUGGAGCGAUAGCACAGCGGGUAGGGCAUUUGCUUUGCUCAUGGCCAACACAGGCUGAAUUCCUCCAUCCCUCUCGGAGAGCCCGGCAAGCUACCGAAAAUAUCGAGCCCACACAGCAGAGCCUGGGAAGCUACCUGUGGCGUAUUCCAUAUACCAAAAACAGUAACAAUAAGUCUCACAAUGGAGACGCUACUGGUGCCCACUUGAGCAAAUUGAUGAGCAACGGGAUGACAGUGAUACAGUGAUACAGUGACAGUCCCAGAGGCAUACAAUUGCUAUGGUAACUUCCAGAUUUGCUAUGUGAACCAGGAGUAAUGUCACCUGAUUGGUUCUGAAUUGGAACAGGAAAGCUGCAUGUUUCCUUCAGUUCUCUCCUCAUACAAUCACAUACACGUGUGCCUUGCAAAUCCAUUCUCUCAACCAAGCGAUUACCUUUGCCUCUUUUCCCCCAAUAACAGAAGGAAAAACACCACCCAGACUCAGCCACCAGAGAAGGCCCUGGCUCUGCCUUCUCCUGGACCCCCUCUGCCCCUGCUCCCCUCUGCUGACACCACGUGAGCCCACCACAUUCAACCUUCACAGGGCAGCUUCUCCACAACAGUGGCUCUAGGAAUCCCAGACUUCAGCGAUGACAAAAGCCAUGCAGAGAUCCAAGAUCUACGCAGAGUGCCCUGAGGGACAAAGAGAAGCCAAAGCAGACCCUAACAUGUUCCGUCCUCGUCCCCAGCCUCUGAAUUUCUGUCACUGAGCCUACCACUUGCAUUCAUGGUUCCUUCCCCCAUUAGACCGAUGCCGUAACAGGAAAGACUGAGUCACCACUGUGCAGGAUUCCCAAGUGCCUGACGAGGAGCCUGGCAUCCAUCAGACUGUUCCCAUGGAGACACAGCUCCUCGGCUUGUCUGGAAUUCAAGCCCUCCCGGGGAGGGCCCUGCAGCGAGCGGGACGCUGAGUGAGAGCAGCCAGCUGGAGCGGAGCGUCCCCGGUCCCCAGCAGAGCGCAGCCAGCCAGCGGCGGCAGGGCGUCCGCGAGCCUUCGUUAGUGCCUCUCUCCCUCUUCCGCUUUCAACAGAAAUGGAUGUUACGAGUUUUGCAGUAAGAUGUGUGCUGAGAUAAAGCCCUCUCCAGUUGUAAACAUUUGUUCUCCGGAGGGGAAAGAAGCCAUUUGAUGACCAGUUGAGUGGCAGCCUCCACGGCCACGCUCCUCUCUCGGGUUAGGAGCCCCUAGAUGCCGCAGGCUGAUUAGACGCAUCAUCGCCCGUGGGCACCUGCUUAAUCACUGGUGCUACUGGAGGGGGGGCGGGUGACUCGAUUGCAGAGCACUUGUCUUGCAUAUGUGAGUCCCCGGAUUCAAUUCCUGGCGCUGCAGGUACCUGAGUGUCUCUUGGCCUCUGAGCCAUAAGCCGGGAGUAGACCCCAAGCAACAUCCCCCAAAUAUAAAUGUAAUAAAAAUAAAACGUGGAUGUUACAUUUUAACAAAUAUUUAAAACAUUAUUGUUAAUUAUAAUUAAAUUAUAUCAAGCAUUUCCAUCCCCUGUCAGCAACAGACACUUGAAA